AACGAACGCUGGCGGCAUGCCUAACACAUGCAAGUCGAACGAGACCUUCGGGUCUAUUUGCGCACGUGUGCGUAACGCGUGGGAACUUGCCCUUAGGUUCGGAAUCACUCCCUGAAGGGUGUCUUCAUACCGGUUAAUGUCUUCCCACCAAAGAUGUAUUGCUUUUGGAUGGGCCCGCGUUGGUUUAGCUAGUUGGUAGGGUAAAAGCCUAUCAAGGCGACGAUCCAUAGCUGGUCUGAGAGGAGGAUCAGCCAGAAUGGGACUGAGACACGGCCCAGACUCGUACGGGAGGCAGCAGUGGAGAGUAUUAGAGGAGGAGCGAAAGUGUGAUCAAGCAGUGCGGGGGAAGUGAUGAAGGGGUUAGGGUUGUAAAGCUGUUUUACACGAGAUGAUAGUGACAGUACCGGGAGAAUAAGCACCGGCUAACUACGUG
rnacentral:rRNA from 1 species